rnacentral:lncRNA from 1 species
UCUCUUGUGGGUUAUCCAUCUAUAAGUAUUGAAGUUUUUGCAAGAAACAUGAGAGUAGGUUUGGCAUCCUUAAAUUUUUGGGGUAAUUGAUGGGCGGUCCCGUGUUGGACCAGAACCUAAGGAAAAGUCCCUAUUGGCUGGUGGUUUAACUUCUAGUCCUUUACGAUUUUAGAUUUAUAUCUGGAGACAAAAUACCCUUUACUCCUCCUCGCUAGGUCAAUCAAUUCCCCCCUUUUUUUUUCGUGGGAUUCUCUCUCCUUCACGCCUAGGUUUUUUUUUUGGGCAUCCUCUCUCUCCCAAGCCCCUAUUCUCUCUCCACCGCCGGCCAUAGCCCGCCCCCUCCCGAGCCCAAGCCGAGAUUAUCCGUGGAGGAAGGGCAAAACCCCGUCGCCGACCGGCCACGACCAAUACGGAAAGGAGAUCCACCACGCCGUCGUCGACUGCGCCCCGAUCCGGCAGAGAGAUGUCUUUCCCGAGCACGACCUGCCCCUCGAGCGGAGAAGAGGUUCGUGGCAGGAUCCAGAGG